GCCCGGGUGGUGGAAUUGGUAGACACGCUACCUUGAGGUGGUAGUGCUUAGCGGCGUGCGGGUUCAAGUCCCGCCUCGGGUACCA
rnacentral:tRNA from 2 species